UACGUAGGGCGCGAGCGUUGUCCGGAAUUAUUGGGCGUAAAGAGCUCGUAGGCGGCUUGUCACGUCUGCUGUGAAAACGCGGGGCUUAACUCCGCGCUUGCAGUGGGUACGGGCAGGCUUGAGUAUGGUAGGGGAGGACUGGAAUUCCUCGUGUAGCGGUGGAAUGCGCAGAUAUCAGGAGGAACACCGAUGGCGAAGGCAGGUCUCUGGGCAGUAACUGACGCUGAGGAGCGAAAGCAUGGGUAGCGAACAGGAUUA
rnacentral:rRNA from 1 species